UUUAAAUCUGACAAAUGCUUCUACUUGGCGCUCAACCAGCAAACUGCAGAAAAUCAUGAAUGCAGCGUUUGGCUAGCAGAGCCAUUACUUAGUAAAGAGAAGUUCUGAAGCCUUGAUUUGGGUUUUCUGCUCGCUGCCAACUCUGCUGGAGCCUUUUCCAAAUCUGGUAAAACACAUAGAGAGCCAGAGCAAAUAUGAUGAGAGCCGAGGAACAACCAGACUAGUAAAAUACUCGAGACUAAAGAGUUGCGCUGCACCACCGCCAGGAUUGGACGACAGGAGGUGGGGUUGGCGCAGGAUUGGUCGGGCUGCCGAGGAAAACCAGGAUGACGUUGCCUCUGGGUCAGAGAGGGACAGAUCAGCGGGCCAUCCUCCAUGCCGUCCAGACCGACACAUAUCCAGCACAAUUUGUUUGUUGUAUAGCAGAACAAGAUACUGUAGUGAGCUGCUACUU
ensembl:lncRNA